GUCUUCGUGGAUCAUGGUAGAUCGCCCAGCUACUGUACUUCGCUUCGAAGAACAUUCUUGGGAGGUGGCGGUUCGACUCCGCCCGAGGACA